UUCUGUCUGCAAUUUUUAAUCUGUGGUUAUGCAUCAAUUUCUCUGCUUCUUCUUUAUAAAUCUUGCAGGUCAGGACAACACACUUAUCGGGGCAAUGUUGGGAUGUUUAGGCUUGGGUGGAGACAUGGACUUUUGGAAGAGAUGUUGGGACCCGUUACUGGAAUACAAGAUUUGGAACAAAAGUGGUUGACAAUGCUAGAGUCGAAAGCAAGUGUGAAAUUCACAUUGAAAAUGACAGGAGAGGGUUGCGCAUGAUCUGUAGGUUCAAUCAACCUCGCUGUUUUCGUUAGAAUCACAAUUAAAGGUCAGUUUUUCCGACAUUUUUUUUUCUUUUUGCUGCAUGUUUAUGUAUGGUUGGCCUAUGAGAAUACUGGUUAGUUGUCAUCAAGCAGCCCUUGUAGAUGUGUAUUUUGUUUAUAUAUUGCUAGUUUAACCAUUAGUACGUUUGACUUGGGGAUACAAGCUUGGAUAUGUUAUAUUUUGUUGUAUAUAGAGAAUCCCGGGUAUGUCCAGCAUAGGAUAACAUGUAUUUUUUGGUUUAACAUUUGGAUGGGUUGUAUUGUUAGGUUGCAUGAAUCGGUCUUAGCCGAGAACAUGGGUUAUGUAAUAUAUUAACUUCACUAUUUUAGUGCUAAUGUUGAUUUAUGUUUAGUUUGUAA